rnacentral:rRNA from 1 species
UACGUAGGGGGCUAGCGUUGUCCGGAUUUAUUGGGCGUAAAGAGCGUGUAGGCGGCCAGGUAGGUCUGCUGUGAAAACUCGAGGCUCAACCUCGAGACGUCGGCGGAAACCAUCUGGGCUAGAGUCCGGAAGAGGAGAGUGGAAUUCCUGGUGUAGCGGUGAAAUGCGCAGAUAUCAGGAAGAACACCCGUGGCGAAGGCGGCUCUCUGGGACGGUACUGACGCUGAGACGCGAAAGCGUGGGGAGCGAACAGG